UGAAACAAAAGGCGUCGUAGCGGUCGCGCUUCCGGUCGCGCGGCCCGUAGCUGCGGAUCCCUGGCCGACCGUGGCCGCCGCACGGAGCACGCGCGAGCGAGUGCCCCCACAUCUUCACACUCCUUACAGGGGCUGAGAGAGGCCAACAGCAGCUCCAGCACCUACCUGUUACAAGCUGGUCUCUUCACAGAGAUGGAGGGAGCCGUGACUGGCAGCUUUUUGUCCUGCUGGAGGGAGAGGUUCCAGGUGAAGGAGUUGCCACUGGGAGGUCGAAGCACCUUGGAGCCCCGGACUUAGGCAUCUGAUCACUUCGGAGCUGUGGUUUAGCC